rnacentral:rRNA from 1 species
UAAGCGCGCGCAGGCGGUCUUUUAAGUCUGAUGUGAAAGUGAGGCUCAACCGGGGAGGGUCAUUGGAAACUGGGAGACUUGAGUACAGAAGAGGAGAGUGGAAUUCCACGUGUAGCGGUGAAAUGCGUAGAUAUGUGGAGGAACACCAGUGGCGAAGGCGACUCUCUGGUCUGUAACUGACGCUGAGGCGCGAAAGCGUGGGGAGCAAACAGGAUUAGAUACCCUGGUAGUCCACGCCGUAAACGAUGAGUGCUAGGUGUUAGGGGUUUCGAUGCCCUUAGUGCCGAAGUUAACACAUUAAGCACUCCGCCUGGGGAGUACGACCGCAAGGUUGAAACUCAAAGGAAUUGACGGGGGCCCGCACAAGCAGUGGAGCAUGUGGUUUAAUUCGAAGCAACGCGAAGAACCUUACCAGGUCUUGACAUCCUUUGACCACCCUAGAGAUAGGGCUUUCCCCUUCGGGGGACAAAGUGACAGGUGGUGCAUGGUUGUCGUCAGCUCGUGUCGUGAGAUGUUGGGUUAAGUCCCGCAACGAGCGCAACCCUUGAUCUUAGUUGCCAGCAUUUAGUUGGGCACUCUAAGGUGACUGCCGGUGACAAACCGGAGGAAGGUGGGGACGACGUCAAAUCAUCAUGCCCCUUAUGACCUGGGCUACACACGUGCUACAAU